UAGUAACGGCGAGUGAAGCGGGAUGAGCUCAAGCUUAAAAUCUCUGUACAAAUUUUGUGCAGCGAAUUGUAGUCUAUAGAAGCGUAGUCAGCAUGGACGCUUAGGGUAAGUUCCUUGGAAGAGGACAGCAUGGAGGGUGAUACUCCCGUUCAUACCUGAGUUGUUUGUGCGUAAGACUCGUUUUCUUUGAGUCGCGUUGUUUGGGAAUGCAGCGCAAAGUAGGUGGUAAAUUCCAUCUAAAGCUAAAUAUUGGUGCGAGACCGAUAGCGAACAAGUACCGUGAGGGAAAGAUGAAAAGAACUUUGAAAAGAGAGUUAAAGAGUACCUGAAACUGCUGAAAGGGAACCAAAUCGUUUCCAGUGUCUAUAAUCUAUAGCAUAUUUCAUUGGCGAGUGUGUGCGUGUGUGUGCUGUGGCAGCGGCUUUUUGGCUGCGCUCGGUGCGUUCGCUGUGUGUGCUUGCUGGUGCCCUGUGCUGUAGUGGGACGUCAAGGUCAGUUCGUAUACUGCGGGAAAUGGCUACCAAGGAGGUAGGGCUUACGCUUGCGUUUGUCUGUUAUAUCUUGGUGGACGAGUAGUCGUGGUUGGGACUGAGGUGCCUACAACGUGCUUUUGAGUGAAACUGUGUUUCCGUAUGCGCCGUGUGCAGAUAGCUUGCUAUGUGUAUGUGGUAGUGUGUGGAUUGAUGCGGUUUUCAACUUGUUGCCGUUC
rnacentral:rRNA from 1 species